GUGGGGAAUAUUGGACAAUGGACCAAGAGUCUGAUCCAGCAAUUCUGUGUGCACGAUGAAGUUUUUCGGAAUGUAAAGUGCUUUCAGUUGGGAAGAAGAAAGUGACGGUACCAACAGAAGAAGCGACGGCUAAAUACGUGCCAGCAGCCGCGGUAAUACGUAUGUCGCAAGCGUUAUCCGGAUUUAUUGGGCGUAAAGCGCGUCUAGGCGGCAUAGUAAGUCUGAUGUGAAAAUGCGGGGCUCAACUCCGUAUUGCGUUGGAAACUGCUAUGCUAGAGUACUGGAGAGGUAAGCGGAACUACAAGUGUAGAGGUGAAAUUCGUAGAUAUUUGUAGGAAUGCCGAUGGGGAAGCCAGCUUACUGGACAGAUACUGACGCUAAAGCGCGAAAGCGUGGGUAGCAAACAGG
rnacentral:rRNA from 1 species